AGCAGCCGCGGUAAUUCCAGCUCCAAUAGCGUAUAUUAAAGUUGUUGCAGUUAAAAGCUCGUAGUUGAACUUCGAGGUCUACCCAUUGGUCAGGCUUAAUUGUCUGCACUGGUGAGAUGGAUCUCUACCUUCUGAGGAACUUUCAUGCCAUUUAUUUGGUGUGAUGGGAAAUCAGGACUGUUACUUUGAAAAAUUGAGUGUUUAAAGCAGACUAUCGUCUGAAUACAUUAGCAUGGAAUAAUGAAAUAGGACGGACUGAUUCUAUUUCG
rnacentral:misc_RNA from 1 species